rnacentral:lncRNA from 1 species
GAAAAAAGAGAAAAGGAAGACUAAGUUACAUAGAGUUUAAUAGGUCUUCAUGUUUAAUUUAUGUGUGUGAUGCUCAGUUUUGGUUUUGUUGAAUAUUAUGUAAAGAAAACUAGAUGCAUUGACUAAGGGGGAGCAACUCAUUACACAUAAAGAUUUGAGGCAUUCAUAUUGAACAUAGACAUUGCACUCUUAAUCUAGGAGUGUUUUGUCAUCAUAAAAAAUAAGAGAUCAAGAUUGUUGACUCUAUAUGUUUUUGAUGACAGCAAAAUAUUCUCAUUCGUUGGUGUCUAACUAUAUUGUUUAAGUGUGUAGCAGAAAGCUUAAAUUCAUUAAUAUAUUUGGUAUUGGAAAGCAAGUCAAGAUGCUUGUUCAGUUGCAAAAUGGGUUAAUCAGUUAAACAAGCAAAGAAGAAAGAGCUUUAAUGAAAAUAGAUUAGUCUUAACCUGCCACAACCCGGUACUCCCCUCGAGCCCGUGACAAGCGCCACGGUGUUCCAAUCGAAACUCAUUAAUCGGAACCCUGCAAGGCUUUAAUAUCAAUUUCUCAUUUCCUCUGUGAGUAACCGUUGCCAAAUGUCAUGUUCUAAAAGAUUGUAAGCUAUUUCUAACUUAAAUCAAUAAAAAAAUUAUUUCUGUCUCACAAGGGCAUUUUGGUCAUUUUUCCCCAAAAUUUUCAAAACCAGCUAAAAAUGUAGUAUGUGAGUAUAAAACACAUAAUUCAUAAUCAAAAAUAAGUUUAAAUGUCUAAAACCUUCAUUUAAAGCGAAACUAUAACUAUUUGAAUAUAAUAAAAAUAUUCAAUAAAAUAUUUUAUUUUCUUAUAAAAUAAUAUUUAUAGAGUUACCGGUAAAUAAUUUUUGUAGCGUAAAAUCUAAAUAAAUUCAUACAUAUUGUAAUACAGAUAACCAAAGUAUAAAAUUUAAUUUACAGUGACACGUGGGCCCACGAACGACCAAAAGUAUCAAAAGCGGUAAACCUACAAUUUUUAAGGAUGCAAGUCCAACUGUAGCCCUCAACAAAGUGAGCUAUCUACCGACUAUCCUGAGCCUGAAAUGGGUGGAAAGGAAGGUGGUGAGAUUAUAUAAUCUCAGUCAGUAAACAAAUACCAUCUAAAAUAUCUAAAGCUGAGUAAAUGGAGAUAGAUUAAAAUAAAUCAUAAUAUUGUAAUUCAUCACCUUUCAACUCAUUUCAACCAAAUAAAAUCAAUUCAUAUAAAUCGAGUAAUCAACAUGGCUUAUAAAUUUCUUAAAUGCUUUGACUUGUGCCAAAAUCAUUCUCAUACCCUGUUGUCAGGGAUACCUUAGCCUGGGGCUAUCCCAACCGAGUUCGCCAAGGUUGUCAAAAAAAUCAUGUACACAUAAAUCAUGUUUUUAUUUUGAAAACAUAGCCGUUCCUUGGCGUUGGCUAAGUUCACCUUCAUGUGGUGGUUUGGCGUGAAGUGAACUCUAAAGUUGUACCCCAGGAGUUACCCUACAUGCCUCUCCAACCGAGGUAAGAAUAUAACGAGGUUACCGUGCCCCUCUAAUAGGCUGGUCCACGGAACCCGCCCACUGCAGCAAGCUAAACCCACCAAUUCAAUAAAAUCUCAACUGCAUGACAUGGCAAUUAUAUCACAAUCUAGCCUCUCAAGGCUAAAUACACAGUUCAUAUAUUUCAACACAAAUACCAAUUCAGCCAUUCAUGCACAUAUUGUCAUAAGCCAUUCAAUUCAAACCAUGAAUUUACAACACAUGAAAACAGUCUCCAAUUACUCUAUUUUCAAACCAUCAUUCAAUUUCAAGACAAUUUUAUAAAAUUAUUUCAUUAAAUCACAUUUUAAUUACAAAAUACAAAGAUUUACCAUUUAACUCAUUUUCCAUAAAAUCGCAAAAUCGGAUAAAAACCACUUUAGAUAAUUAAGAUGAUAGUAAGGUUACUCAAUAUUUCAGGAGUCGAAUUCUGAGUACUUCGAUUCUUGAUCCUUGGGUACUAUCUCUUUACUUUUGCCAGAAAGCUCACCACCUAGACAUAAUGCACAAUAAGCCAUUUACUGCAUUUGUGCUAAAUUGUUAUAAAACCAAUUCAAGCUCUAUACUAAUGCAUGAAAUGGGAUGUAAAUUGUUUGGAUUAUCAUCUAAACAUGGUGUUCUACACAAAUUCAAUUAUGUACCUAAAUAAAACGGUAUUGGCCUAAUUCGAUCUAUCACUCGAUUUAAUUGGCCAAUAUCUCCAAUUUAACUCCCAUUAACUCCAUUUUUCUUCCAAUUCUCCAAACCAUCAAACACAAAUUAAAUAACUUAAAAUAUGGCAAAACCAUCCUCACAUUUUCUCUUGGAAAAUUCGGCCAUGGUGGGUGCAUCAAUACUAUGAUUUUUCCUACUUGAUUUUCUCACUGUAAUUUAUCAUUUCCUAACCAAUUCACUUGAAAUAAAAUCAAAUCCACCAUCCACACUCUACAUGGAAGAUUCGGCCAAUGAUGGGUUAUGGAAGAACAUGAAUUUUUCUUGUUUGUUUUUCAUGCUACACAUCACUAACUAACUAAAAACACUAAAAUACAUUGAAAUCUAACCAGAUCCGAGUUCAAAACUCCUCCCCCCAUGUCCGGCCAGCAAGAGUAUCCUCAUGCAAACUUGAUUCUCAACCAUGGAAAAUGAAAAAGAAUGCAUAGGAAAGGGAAAUCACAAGCUAGAAUUGAAAAAUCUUACCUUUUGUCACUUUAUUCUUUGAAAUUUUGUGAAUUUCUCUUGAAUUUCUUAGCUAGGUUUUUGUUCUUCUUCUUGUCUUCCCUU